rnacentral:sRNA from 1 species
GAAUAGCCCCGAUGGGAGCGGUAUCCCGCCUUAGCGGAUAAAGCGGACAGCGGGAAAACGG